rnacentral:rRNA from 1 species
UGGGGAAUCUUCCGCAAUGGACGAAAGUCUGACGGAGCAACGCCGCGUGAGUGAUGACGGCCUUCGGGUUGUAAAGCUCUGUUAAUCGGGACGAAUGGUUCUUGUGCAAAUAGUGCGAGGAUUUGACGGUACCGGAAUAGAAAGCCACGGCUAACUACGUGCCAGCAGCCGCGGUAAUACGUAGGUGGCAAGCGUUGUCCGGAAUUAUUGGGCGUAAAGCGCGCGCAGGCGGAUUGGUCAGUCUGUCUUAAAAGUUCGGGGCUUAACCCCGUGAUGGGAUAGAAACUGCCAAUCUAGAGUAUCGGAGAGGAAAGUGGAAUUCCUAGUGUAGCGGAGAAAUGCGUAGAUAUUAGGAAGAACACCAGUGGCGAAGGCGACUUUCUGGACGAAAACUGACGCUGAGGCGCGAAAGCCAGGGGAGCGAACGGG